UGUGGUGUGGCUCAGUGGACGAGCACUUGCCUAGCAUGUGUGAAGCCCUGAGUUCGAUCCUCAGCACCACAU
rnacentral:tRNA from 1 species